UACGGAGGGGGCUAGCGUUGUUCGGAAUUACUGGGCGUAAAGCGCACGUAGGCGGCUUUGCAAGUCAGAGGUGAAAUCCCCGGGCUCAACCCGGGAACUGCGUCCGAUACUGGGUGGCUUGAAUUCGGGAGAGGGAUGCGGAAUUCCAGGUGUAGCGGUGAAAUGCGUAGAUAUCUGGAGGAACACCGGUGGCGAAGGCGGCAUCCUGGACCGACAUUGACGCUGAGGCGCGAAAGCCAGGGGAGCAAAGCGGGG
rnacentral:rRNA from 1 species